rnacentral:lncRNA from 1 species
AUGUCAACAGCUGACAUUCAAGACUGGAAAAAAACAGGAUUCAUGUCGUCAGUUAAGGAUCUGGUGCAGCAGAAAGGCUGCAGCAGGACUUUUUUGCAGGAAAUUUGCUGAACUGGUCCGAGAAUCCCUCAAGAAGAGGUUCUCGUGGCAGGUUCGCCCAGACGUGAGCACAGCAAAAGGCCAAAGGUUGGGUUGCUGCGUUGGGUGUUUUUUUUUUUUUUUUCCUCC